UGGGGAAUAUUGCACAAUGGGGGAAACCCUGAUGCAGCUACGCCGCGUGAACGAAGAAGGUAUUCGUAUCGUAAAGUUCUGUCCUAUGGGAAGAUAAUGACAGUACCAUAGAAGAAAGCUCCUGCUAAAUACGUGCCAGCAGCCGCGGUAAUACGUAUGGAGCGAGCGUUUUCCGGAAUUAUUUGGCGUAAAGGGUACGCAGGCGGUUUAAUAAGUCGAAUGUUAAAGAUCGGGGCUCAACCCCGCAAAGCAUUGGAAACUGAUAAACUUGAGUAGUGGAGAGGAAAGUGGAAUUCCUAGUGUAGUGGUGAAAUACGUAGAUAUUAGGAGGAAUACCAGUAGCGAAGGCGACUUUCUGGACACAAACUGACGCUGAGGUACGAAAGCGUGGGGAGCAAACAGG
rnacentral:rRNA from 1 species